rnacentral:rRNA from 1 species
GAUGAACGCUGGCGGCGUGCCUAACACAUGCAAGUCGAGCGAACAGAUAAGGAGCUUGCUCCUUUGACGUUAGCGGCGGACGGGUGAGUAACACGUGGGUAACCUACCUCUAUGACUGGAAUAACUACGGGAAACCGGUGCUAAUGCCGGAUAACAUUUAGAACCGCAUGGUUCUAAAGUGAAAGAUGGUUUUGCUGUCACUUAUAGAUGGACCCGCGCCGGAUUAGCUAGUUGGUAAGGUAACGGCUUACCAAGGCAACGAUACGUAGCCGACCUGAGAGGGUGAUCGGCCACACUGGAACUGAGACACGGUCCAGACUCCUACGGGAGGCAGCAGUAGGGAAUAUUCCGCAAUGGGCGAAAGCCUGACGGAGCAACGCCGCGUGAGUGAUGAAGGUCUUCGGAUCGUAAAACUCUGUUAUUAGGGAAGAACAAAUGUGUAAGUAACUGUGCACGUCUUGACGGUACCUAAUCAGAAAGCCACGGCUAACUGCGUG